AAGCUGUGGUGAGGACACUGAUUAGUAUUACUUAUAAACCGUUCCCAAGCCUCUCCAAAACUUUCAUUUGUAUGUUGGGUGAAGCUUGAGAUUUGAUUUCUUAGCUU
rnacentral:snoRNA from 1 species